AUUGAACGCUGGCGGCAUGCCUUACACAUGCAAGUCGAACGGCAGCACGGGAGCAAUCCUGGUGGCGAGUGGCGAACGGGUGAGUAAUAUAUCGGAACGUGCCCAGUCGUGGGGAUAACGUAGCGAAAGCUACGCUAAUACCGCAUACGAGUCUAUGGAUGAAAGCGGGGGAUCGCAAGACCUCGCGCGAUUGGAGCGGCCGAGUAAUCAGAUUAGGUAGUUGGUGAGGUAAAGGCUCACCAAGCCGACGAUCUGUAGCUGGUCUGAGAGGACGACCAGCCACACUGGGACUGAGACACGGCCCAGGACUCCUACGGGAGGCA
rnacentral:rRNA from 1 species